ACGGGUGAGUAACACGUGGGUGAUCUGCCCUGCACUUCGGGAUAAGCCUGGGAAACUGGGUCUAAUACCGGAUAUGACCUCCUAUCGCAUGGUGGGUGGUGGAAAGAUUUAUCGGUGCAGGAUGGGCCCGCGGCCUAUCAGCUUGUUGGUGGGGUAAUGGCCUACCAAGGCGACGACGGGUAGCCGACCUGAGAGGGUGACCGGCCACACUGGGACUGAGACACGGCCCAGACUCCUACGGGAGGCAGCAGUGGGGAAUAUUGCACAAUGGGCGAAAGCCUGAUGCAGCGACGCCGCGUGAGGGAUGACGGCCUUCGGGUUGUAGACCUCUUUCAGCAGGAACGAAGCGCAAGUGACGGUACCUGCAGAAGAAGCACCGGCUAACUACGUGCCAGCAGCCGCGGUAAUACGUAGGGUGCAAGCGUUGUCCGGAAUUACUGGGCGUAAAGAGUUCGUAGGCGGUUUGUCGCGUCGUUUGUGAAAACCAGCAGCUCAACUGCUGGCUUGCAGGCGAUACGGGCAGACUUGAGUACUGCAGGGGAGACUGGAAUUCCUGGUGUAGCGGUGAAAUGCGCAGA
rnacentral:rRNA from 1 species